CUCUCCUACGGGGGGCAGCAGUAGGGAAUAUUGCUCAAUGGGGGAAACCCUGAAGCAGCAACGCCGCGUGGAGGAUGAAGGUUUUCGGAUUGUAAACUCCUUUUGUUAGAGAAGAUAAUGACGGUAUCUAACGAAUAAGCACCGGCUAACUCCGUGCCAGCAGCCGCGGUAAUACGUAGGGAGCGAGCGUUGUCCGGAUUUACUGGGUGUAAAGGGUGCGUAGGCGGCUUGGCAAGUCAGUAGUGAAAUCCAUGGGCUUAACCCAUGAACUGCUAUUGAAACUGUUAUUCUAGAGUAUGGGAGCG
rnacentral:rRNA from 1 species